GGUGAGUUACGUCAUUCCAUAAAAAGACAAAUAAAGUGCAUUUUGUCUUAAAUCCUCACCAUAAAAUUCGAAGAGGGAAUUACAAAAUUGGGACAAUAAAGCAGACGGUCAGCUGGCUGAGGAGGAAUUACAGAGUGUCAUUUCUUAAGAGACCUGGGUUUUCUGUCACAGCUCAGUGAUGUCCUCUGCCACAUGACUUAGGGAGAACCCGGGACUGGAGGCUUUUCCUGUCACCUGGAAAACAUCUUCUCUUUGGAAGGAAGCACAGACUCUUACAUCAACCAGUGGAAUCUUGUGUGGCAAAAAUUGACGGAGUGAGGAGGCGGCUGUCUGUAGUCCAGCGAAAGAGCCCGCAGCGCCUCAACCAACCUUGCCCUUGGUAUUUUACUCAGGCGGCCACAUCCUGGGCUGAGGCAGGAUCCCCUCCAACAGCGCUGCUCUUUGCAUCUCAGCACCCGGGGCAAAUAAAAAGCCUGUCUUCCCAUU
rnacentral:lncRNA from 1 species